GGCGGCGUGCUUAACACAUGCAAGUCGAGCGGAAAGGCCCUUCGGGGGUACUCGAGCGGCGAACGGGUGAGUAACACGUGAGCAACCUGCCCCUGACUUUGGGAUAAGCCCGGGAAACGUGGGUCUAAUACCGGAUAUAACCACUGGUCGCAUGGGUCUGGUUGGUGGAAAGUUUUUCGGUUGGGGAUGGGCUCGCGGCCUAUCAGCUUGUUGGUGGGGUGAUGGCCUACCAAGGCGACGACGGGUAACCGGCCUGAGAGGGCGACCGGUCACACUGGGACUGAGACACGGCCCAGACUCCUACGGGAGGCAGCAGUGGGGAAUAUUGCGCAAUGGGCGGAAGCCUGACGCAGCGACGCCGCGUGGGGGAUGACGGCCUUCGGGUUGUAAACCUCUUUCAGCAGGGACGAAGCGAAAGUGACGGUACCUGCAGAAGAAGCGCCGGCUAACUACGUGCCAGCAGCCGCGGUAAUACGUAGGGCGCAAGCGUUGUCCGGAAUUAUUGGGCGUAAAGAGCUCGUAGGCGGUUUGUCGCGUCUGUCGUGAAGGCCCACGGCUUAACUGUGGGUCUGCGGUGGAUACGGGCAGACUAGAGGCAGGUAGGGGAGAAUGGAAUUCCCGGUGUAGCGGUGAAAUGCGCAGAUAUCGGGAGGAACACCGGUGGCGAAGGCGGUUCUCUGGGCCUGUACUGACGCUGAGGAGCGAAAGCGUGGGAGCGAACAGGNUUAGAUACCCUGGUAGUCCACGCCGUAAACGUUGGGCGCUAGGUGUGGGGUUCUUCCACGGAUUCCGCGCCGUAGCUAACGCAUUAAGCGCCCCNCCUGGGGNGUACGGCCGC
rnacentral:rRNA from 1 species